rnacentral:rRNA from 1 species
CCUGGUUGAUCCUGCCAGUAGUCAUAUGCUUGUCUCAAAGAUUAAGCCAUGCAUGUCUAAGCACACGCCCUUGAAUGGCAAAGCCGCACAUGGCUCAUUACAACAGCCAUAGUUUAUUAGAUCGUACUUUCCUACUUGGAUAACUGUGGUAAUUCUAGAGCUAAUACACGCAGCAAAGCUCGGACUCACGAACGAGCGCAUUUAUUAGAGCAAAACCAAUCGGGCUUCGGUCCGUUUUUUUGGUGAAUCUGAACAACUCUGCAGAUCGCACGGUCUCGCACCGGCGACGCAUCUUUCAAAUGUCUGCCUUAUCAACUUUCGAUGGUAGUUUAUACGCCUACCAUGGUUGUAACGGGUAACGGAGAAUAAGGGUUCGACUCCGGAGAGGGAGCCUGAGAAACGGCUACCACAUCCAAGGAAGGCAGCAGGCACGCAAAUUACCCACUCCCGGCACGGGGAGGUAGUGACGAAAAAUAACGAGGCGGUUCUCUACGAGGCCCGCCAUCGGAAUGGGUACAAUUUAAAUCCUUUAACGAGGAUCUAUUGGAGGGCAAGUCUGGUGCCAGCAGCCGCGGUAAUUCCAGCUCCAAUAGCGUAUAUUAAAGUUGUUGCGGUUAAAAAGCUCGUAGUUGGAUCUGCGGUCAAGGAAUGUGGUCCUCCGACGGAUGGUUACUGCUUUUCCUGACCUAACUACUUCGGUUUUCCCUUGAUGCUCUUAACCGAGUGUCUUGGGCGACCGAAACGUUUACUUUGAAAAAAUUAGAGUGCUCAAAGCAGGCGUUCAGCCUGAAUAGUGGUGCAUGGAAUAAUAAAUGAGGAUCUCGGUUCUAUUUUGUUGGUAUUGGAUUGAGAUAAUGAUCGACGGGGAUAGACGGGGGCAUUCGUAUUGCGACGUUAGAGGUGAAAUUCUUGGAUCGUCGCCAGACGAACAACUGCGAAGGCAUUUGCCAAGAAUAUGCUCUUCAAUCAAGAACGAAAGCGAGAGGCGCGAACGCGAUCAGAUACCGCGGUAGUUCUCGCCGUAAACGAUGCCAACUAGCGAUCCGCCGGAGUUAAACGAUGACUCGGCGGGCAGCUUCCGGGAAACCAAAGUUUUUGGGUUCCGGGGGAAGUAUGGUUGCAAAGCUGAAACUUAAAGGAAUUGACGGAAGGGCACCACCAGGAGUGGAGCCUGCGGCUUAAUUUGACCCAACACGGGGAAACUCACCCGGCCCGGACACCGUAAGGAUUGACAGAUUGAGAGCUCUUUCUUGAUUCGGUGGGUGGUGGUGCAUGGCCGUUCUUAGUUGGUGGAGCGAUUUGUCUGGUUAAUUCCGAUAACGAACGAGACUCUAGCCUGCUAAAUAGACAGUGAAUCGUUAGUUCACUGUACUUCUUAGAGGGACAAGCGGCUUCUAGCUGCACGAGAUUGAGCAAUAACAGGUCUGUGAUGCCCUUAGAUGUUCGGGGCUGCACGCGCGCUACACUGAAGGAAUCAACAUGCAUUCUACCUUACCCGAAAGGGUUUGGUAACCCGUUGAAACUCCUUCGUGAUUGGGAUAGGGACUUGCAAUUAUGGCCCUUGAACGAGGAAUUCCCAGUAAGUGCGGGUCAUCAGCUCGCGUUGAUUACGUCCCUGCCCUUUGUACACACCGCCCGUCGCUACUACCUAUUGGAUGUUACAUUGAACUGUUCGGACCGAUGUCGAAGCGGCUUCACGGCUGCUUCGGUCGUUUGGAAAGAUCCGUUAGAUCUGACAUCUAGAGGAAGUAAAUUCGUAACAAGGUU